AUACGUAGGGAGCGAGCGUUGUCCGGAAUUACUGGGCGUAAAGGGUGCGUAGGCGGCAGGGCAAGUCAGAUGUGAAAUCCCCGGGCUUAACUCGGGAGUUGCAUUUGAAACUGCUUUGCUUGAGUGCAGGAGAGGAAAGCGGAAUUCCUAGUGUAGCGGUGAAAUGCGUAGAUAUUAGGAGGAACACCAGUGGCGAAGGCGGCUUUCUGGACUGUAACUGACGCUGAGGCACGAAAGCGUGGGGAGCAAACAGGAUUAGAUACCCUGGUAGUCCACGCCGUAAACGAUGGAUACUAGGUGUGGGGGAGAUACAACCUCCGUGCCGGAGCAAACGCAAUAAGUAUCCCGCCUGGGGAGUACGGUCGCAAGGCUGAA
rnacentral:rRNA from 1 species